CCUUUCUCCAACAGGAAUUCUGCCAAGUACGAACCAUCCUGGAAGAGAGGGAAAAUUGAGAAGAGUUACACUGAUGGUGACAGGCUGCUCCUCAAACUUUCCAUCCACACUGGAACAUUCUGAACCUGCAGUGGCACUCACUUCCUCCUCAUUUCCUUGCCAGGCCCCUCCAGUGAUAGGGCCCAGGCUGCACAAUGAGUGGGAAACCAGCCGAGCAAGGGCUCUUGGUCUCAGGCCCAGGGAGCUCAGCUGGCCUUUCCCCCUCAUCCUCCCUACUGGUCCUGGGGGACUGCUGGGAGACAUGGUAUCUGAGCAGGCAGCCAAACCAGCAGGAUGGCUGAUAGAGAAUGCUCCAAUCAAACUAAUGACUGAAUCGUCGCACCAAGGAGGAGGUGUUUUGUGGAUUAAACAGUGCUUCCAGCUUCAAUCAAGCAACCCAAAUACAAAGAAAUCCUGUAAUUAUAGAAUACUCUAGAAGAGAAGAGAAAGAAAACAUGAGUGCCUGGGAUUUCUCAGGUCAUGGAUCGCACCCCCAUGAGGCAACACAGUGCUAUGUGGAGGGAGUGUUGCUUUGGUGGUACAUACAUGUCGAGGGAUGACGCCCCUUUACAGGACCUAAAAAUACAAGUUUCCAUGUGGCUGAUAUCUAUCAUGUAUGUAUAGAUUGAUAAGUUUUCAUGGGCAGUAAGAAAUAUUCCACAAAGAGCCACAUACAAUUUAAGCAUUAUUCCAGAAGGCUCAUAUUUCAACUACUAAUGAAAACUAUGUAAAACUCUGGAUCUACAAACACAGAAAGGUUAUCCCUUUCUAUCAAAAGCCAUAGAUGGGAAUUGAAGGUAAAAGGUACUAACUGGACUUCAAACUCAAUGGGCAGACAAAUAAACAGGUGUUAUCAUCCUACAACCAAUACUAGUUAGUGUUUCUAUUCUGUUUUCUGUCAAUGUACUUGCAGCCAAAUGUGAAGAAAUGAAAAGGGAAAAAGGAUACUGCUGACAUGUGCAGAAGAGUUGAGCCUGCCUGGAAGGCAUGCUUCCAUUUAG